UACCUUCUCUUUCAACUGUGUGCCAUUGG
rnacentral:piRNA from 1 species